CCAAGGUUAGCGUAGGUUAAGUUCAGGGAAAAUUUAUUUUCUUUACUUGCAUUCAAGAAGGAAAAAUAAAAAUGAGAAGCCCAGAAAAACCAUAGGCAAUGGUACACAUGUAGCCUUGAAGUUUCUGACACUGUUAAAUAAUAAAAAAGCUGUUCAUCUUCUUAACACUUGUCACGAUAUUUGAAGCCCUGGAGUACGGUCUGCUAAAAACCGUAUUGCAACUAGUAUAUCCGGACAUUCAGGCAUGGUUCAGACAAUACAACUAGUCCCGACCAGUGAAGAGCUGAAAAUCGACAAACUUAAAAGCCACGACUAAACAACCAUCAGGCUUUGCAUUGGUGAUUUUAAGUUAACUUGGUUGCUCUGAGUGUUUGGAAUGGCGUCUUACAAAAACAAACUGCAAGUAUAUACGCAGAGGAUGCAUUGGCCAUUGCCGGUAUAUGAGAGUGUGAAUGAGGGUUUUGACCAUCUGCCAAAUUUCAAGUGUUUUGUUACUGUUAAUGGGCUGAGAUACGAAUCCAGUGGUUCUUACAGCCAUAAAAAAGUUGCAGAACAGUCCGCUGCUCAGGCUGCCAUACAGGAUUUGGCUACCAAACAUCCGGAAUAUAAGUUUGAGCAGGAUCCAUUUGGCCAAAAACAACUUACAGAACUUCUUGAAAGGAUGGGCAGAGGGCCUCCUAUAUUUUCUGUUACAAAGACGGGAGUUGCUCAUUCUCCAGAGUUUACAUCGACUGUGGAGAUUGAUGGGGCCUCCUAUGUUGGUGGUGUUGCAAAGAGUAAGAAGGAAGCUGAAACAAAGGCUGCCCUUGUAGCAAUUCGAACCAUCAAUCAACAAGUUGGUGAUCUUUGUCUCCAGCUUCAGCUUCAGGCUGACAGCAGGGUGAGCAAUGAAUUGCAACAGCCCUCUGAAGAGUGCAAGGAUAUUAAGCCUGAAUUGAAGGCAGCAACUAACAGUUGCACUCCUAGCAACGAAUUUUUAGUUGGAACCAAUUCUAAACAGUUUGAGAAUUCCUUAGAAAUGUUGAUUACGAAUAAUGAAGAUCCUGUUGAAAAGGGCCCUGGAAAGUCAAAUGCAAGUGAUGAAAAUUCAGCACCUUCAUUAAAUCCACAUAACCAACUUCAGCAAGAAACUUUUCUGAUCCAGCCAGAGCAGGAAGAGAUUAAAUUGAAGAAGGAAGGUGUGCAGGAGGUUAAUUUAAAAGAUUCUAUAAACAAGAGAAGUAGAAGUGAAUCUGAGAAUCGUGAACAGAUGAAUGGAAAGAAGAGAAAAGAAGAAAAUGAAAAGAACCAUGGGAUGAUAUCCAGCAACAUAUCUAUGGGCAACUGAUGCUAUGCUCAGUUGGGAAUUUAAGGUGUGCAAGGACUGUGUUGGGGAUUGAAAGCUGAGAAUGUGACGAAGUUGAAAGUAACUCGCAGAUCGAGGUAGAAGAUGGAGUUCAGAAUGUGGAUUUGGAGGUUGAUCAAGGACCCAAUGAAGACGCUGUUGCUUGGAAAUGAGAUCAUGUCGAGUGAAGAAGAUAAGAAAGGAGAUGAGCUACCUGAAGAGGUUGCAGUUGCAGCAAAAAUUGAUAAAGAGGACAUUGGCGAAGUAGAGUAGUUGCCUUGUCAGAAUCUUCUUCAUCACUCGUAUCAAAAUUAUGGAACGCAAAGAGACCAUUGGAUGUGUGCUAGCAUCAGUUUUGGAGGUUGUGCGUACCACAAUGGUCUAUGGAUGUGUUGAUGUUUGGAUUACAGUCACAAAGGCUUUGAGCUGGAUGUGCGGUAUUUUGAUCAACUCGAAGUGACUAUUUAUUUUUAACUUGUGUAUUGGUUUUAUCAAAUUGCUACGAAAUGAUAUCCAGCUUACAGUUCAUGAUAAUUUUGAGCUCAGUUUUGAUGUUGUGGUCAUUGAUGGAUAUGUGAUUAUGUACUUUGGAUGACAGGAAACUUUUCAAGUCCAGGAAUACUAACAGGGAUUAUAACCAUUUAAAAUAUAAGUGUACAUCGCAUCCUAUAUAUAUGUAUACACACACAAACAUAUAUAUAUAUCAGGCUUAUAUAUAUAAAUAAUGCACAUAUAAAUUAUAUUUGUUAGAAUGUAAUUUAUAUGUUUACAGUUUC